AUCCAGCCGACGAGUCCCAAAUAGGACGAAAUGCACGACCUAGAU
rfam:Schistosoma mattheei strain Denwood, Zambia genome assembly, scaffold: SMTD_scaffold0010259